rnacentral:rRNA from 1 species
GGAGUCUGGGCCGUGUCUCAGUCCCAAUGUGGCCGUUCACCCUCUCAGGCCGGCUAUGGAUCGUCGCCUUGGUGAGCCGUUACCUCACCAACUAGCUAAUCAGACGCGGGUCCAUCUUAUACCGAAAAAACUUUUCACACUACAUCAUGCGAUGCUGUGCGCUUAUGCGGUAUUAGCAGUCGUUUCCAACUGUUGUCCCCCUGUACAAGGUAGGUUACCCACGCGUUACUCACCCGUCCGCCACUCAGUCAGUAAAUCGUCACCCCGAAGGGAUCGUAAUAAACUGCUUCGUUCGACUUGCAUGUGUUAAGCACGCCGCCAGCGUUCAUC